GCGUCGGUCGUUCAGUGGUAGAAUACUCGCCUGCCACGCGGGUGGCCCGGGUUCGAUUCCCGGCCGACGCA
rnacentral:tRNA from 1 species